rnacentral:lncRNA from 1 species
AUGAAUGGAAAGUGUUACCGAAAGAAAAAACUUUGAAAAAGAAAGUAAACAAAUAAAUAAAUGAGACUUGAAUCCUCCAAAAUUUUAAAAUGGUUGCAUGUGGAGCAUAUAAAGUUGAAAUAAGAAAAUAAAAAUGAAAAAUAGUCUGGAAUGUGCAUGAGUUUGAAAAGUGGAGAAAGUUGGAAAUGAUUAGUUGUUAUGUAGUGUUAAGGAG